rnacentral:hammerhead_ribozyme from 1 species
GAGCGAAAUCCCGCCUCGGCGGGAUCGCCGCCCGGUGGCGCGGGCGGCCUGAUGAGCAGCUAAAA